ACGACUGCAAUGUAGAUCUCUACGAAUAAGUUUCUAAUAGGGAGGAAUUUCAAACGAACGUUAACGAAUAAGUUUCUAAAGAGGAAUUUCAAACGAUCGUUGAAGUUGAGAAAGAAGAAAAUAACGGCUCGAUACAAUCAAAUCAAAGAAAGACAAAACCUGAGGAGAGACGCCGCAAAUUUUACUUAUUGUCGCACAAGUCCUGGUGAUGGUGUCGCGUUUUGAUGUCAGGUGUCGUUAAAUUACAUUCCGACUUGUAACUACACCGACUUUGCAACCAGAUUCUUCGCCAUUUCCAAUUGGAAUGAUCAGUUUAGAGUUCCACCUGCAGACGGCCAGUUUGCAUGUCCUUCACGCUUGAAGGUCACGGUGAAAAUUACGUGUAAAACUGUCAAUGCGGUGGUGUAGAGGUUGGGUGAGAACUGGACGUGUUGCAUCCUUAUCAAGCAGACCCAUUCCCAGCCACGACAACCUGCUGAAGGAAAGGCACGUAAAAGUUUUCAUGCAGUGGUGUAGAGACCCAUCCCCGGCAACGUCAACCUGCAAAAGGAAAGGGCGGUCCGCCUAUCCUUCACAUUCGAAGGUCACGGAGAUCAUUACAUAAAACGUGUCAUGCAGUGAUGUAGAGGUUGGGUGAUAACGGGGCGUGUUUCAUAAUUUUCAAGCAGGUACAAUAGCCGCAAGGCUUGAGAGGUGAGGGUGACAAAAAAAUCGUAUAAAAAGGAGAGAGAAAAGGCCAGAGACAUCAGUCGAGUGAACAUCUCCGACACGGCAACAAUUGCAGCGCACUAUCUGUCACCAUCUGCCUUCUUCACCGUAUUGCCAGUUCGCAUCCAUGGUUAAUAAGGCGUCAUAUGCUGUUGGGUGUUAUCGUUGAUGGAUGGGUCGAACACUGGUGUACCGAUGUCUCCUUGGUAUGGCGGAAACCAAACCGCGCCGCCGCCUUACUAUCCAAAAGCAACUUACGCAACGACCAGUUACUGCACCGAGGUCUACAAGUACUACACUACUAAGGCACCGGAGUUUUAACCACAACUUACGCUGCCCUGAGUCACUACACUGACGCCCUGAACCUACGCUACACCACAGCUCCCAAGUACUACACAGAAGAAACCGCCUAUUACACAACAACGUAUGCUGCCUAGUUUACUACACCGAUGCUCCCAAUUACUACAUCACUAAAGCACCGGAAUUCUACACGUGUAUACAUGCUGCCCCUGCCUACUACAUCGAGGCCCCGCAUUACUACAACACUGAAGCGCUUAAGUACUACACUACAACCUACGCUGCCCCGUGCCACUACACCUACGUCCGGAAGGAUUACUGUGCGUAAAAGGAGUCGUUGGGAACAAAGAAGUCGCGCCCGAACUGCAGUGCCCUAUCUGUCACCAACUGCAUUCCUCAUCGUGUAACCGUCACAAUUAUGGUCAACUAUGGUGUCGUGCUCCUGUUGGGUGUUGUAUCGUCGAUGGCUGGGUUGAUCGCUGGUGUAGCGAUGUCUCCUUGGUAUGGCGAAACCAAACCGCAAUGCCUCCGCCUUCCUACAUAACUUGAGCAACGGCCAGUUCUUGCGCCGAUGUCUUCAAAUACUACACCACCAAACCACGAAAGUUUUAUACCACAACUUACGCUGCACCGAGCCACUACACUGACGCCCUGAAGUAUUACUCUGUCCCGAGUUACUACACCACCAAGGCGACGGAGUGCUACAUCACAUGACUACGCAUGCUGCCCCACUUGCUACACCGAGGCUCCCAAAUGCUACACCGAGGCUCCCGCCGAUUACUCCACCAAAACGGUCGAGUACUACACCGAAGCGGCAAAGUACUUCUCUGCCCCGAUCUACGCAAGCAAUUGAGGCGGCCAAGUAUUACGCAGUCUCCACUUACUACACAGAAGCUGUUCUUUCGUACUACGUUGAACAGAAAUACUACAGUGAUGCUCCAGUCCACUACACCACGACCUACGCUACGCCUAGCUACAACACCGCAGCGCCCAAGUACUACACCGAAGAAUCCGCCUAUUACACAACUACGUACGCUGCCUAGUUUACUACAUGAGGAAUUUAAGUAUUACCCUGCCCCAAACUGCUACCAAACUGCUACCAAACUGCUACCAAACUGCUACCAAACUGCUACCAAAGUGAGGUUCAUAUGUAUACAUCAGUAAUUCUCCCGACUUUGUCACCUUCGCUACGUCGACCUAUACACCGAAGUUGUGAAGUAUUUCUCUGGAAGUGUUGAAAGAUUGCUGAAAUACAAGAUUGAUUGA
rnacentral:lncRNA from 1 species